rnacentral:lncRNA from 1 species
AAUCCUCUUCCCUUGCAUGCAUACAGUAUGAAGAUGAGCUCAAUGGAGAGAGCCUCCCUUCCCCUCAUCCAUCCGGCCCUGGUCUCGCUUAUGGCAAACCAUGUGUGGAAGGGGUAUAAAGUCAGGAUGAUGGAGCACAGCUUUCAGAGCUCCCCCCAGACAGCCCAAGACCCCCAACUUGCAAGACCCCAUCCCACGAUGGACACAUCAGUGAGACAGCGUUUCAAGGAGAUCUCUGUUCUUCAAACUACAUACAGAGGAUCCCAUCUCUAUUAAAUCCUGGGGGUCUUCAGAGCCUUGGCAAGCCCCUGGGUGCAUGGGUCAGCAACUCCACCACCUUCCUGGGCAACCAGAUUGGAUGGGAUCCUGGGCAGCACGAUCCUGUGGUUGACAUCCCUGCCCAUGGCAGCAGGUUGGAACUAGAUGAUCUCUAAGGUCCCUUCCAACUUGAGCAAUUCUCUGAUUCUAUAAUAAGGUUAUCUAGAAUGUGUUUUCUGCCCGUUCUUGGGGUAUAACGGGGUAGCAGGUGGCUCUUUCAUUA